rnacentral:tRNA from 1 species
GCCCGGGUGGCGGAAUGGUAGACGCAGUGGAUUCAAAAUCCACCGGUGAUGAGCCGUGAGAGUUCGAGUCUCUCCCCGGGCA